UACGUAGGGUGCGAGCGUUGUCCGGAAUUAUUGGGCGUAAAGAGCUCGUAGGCGGUGUGUCGCGUCGGCCGUGAAAACCUGCAGCUUAACUGUGGGCGUGCGGUCGAUACGGGCAUCACUGGAGUUCGGCAGGGGAGACUGGAAUUCCUGGUGUAGCGGUGAAAUGCGCAGAUAUCAGGAGGAACACCGGUAGCGAAGGCGGGUCUCUGGGCCGAUACUGACGCUGAGGAGCGAAAGCGUGGGGGAGCGAACAGG
rnacentral:rRNA from 1 species